CAAUUUUGUAUUUCGGCCUUCAUUCAGAAGGGAAUGCAUAAAUUAAAUAAAGCAUGUUCUCUCAUAUUACAGACAGGUCUAAUAAUCAAGAACUCCACAUGUAUCAAAAGAAUCUUCAGAAACUAGGCAAAACAGGAGAAAAUAUGUCUUAAGUCCCUUAUAUCUACACGCCCACCCACCAGGAUAUUCAUUUCCUCUAGAACUUAUGGAGAAGANNNNNNNNNNNNGAAUCGUGCCUUCUCACCAGAUGUUUUUCAUCUUCGAUGAAGAAUGUAGCUUGCUUAUGCAUUUUCUAAAAUGAUCUUUUCUACGUUUAACCAAAAUCUAACAUUCCAUGUAAUGUGAUUUAAUGGCUUAAUCACAAUCCAACCCACAAACUUCUAACACAAUACCACCUCUUGACACAAAUGGAUUGAUUCGUACCCACACCAGUGAGAAAACUGAAGCUACAAGUAUUGACCAUACAACAAUUAUGGUGGGAAGCCUGUCUUGUUUGGCCAUCAAACC
rnacentral:misc_RNA from 1 species